rnacentral:tRNA from 1 species
GCGUGUAUCGUAUAAUGGCUAUUACCUCAGCCUUCCAAGCUGAUGACGCGGGUUCGACUCCCGCUGCACGCUCCA